rnacentral:rRNA from 1 species
UACGUAGGGGGCAAGCGUUGUCCGGAAUUAUUGGGCGUAAAGAGCGCGUAGGCGGUCCGGUAAGUCGGCUGUGAAAGUCAAGGGCUCAACCCUUGAAAGCCGGCCGAUACUGUCGGACUAGAGUCCGGAAGAGGCGAGUGGAAUUCCCGGUGUAGCGGUGAAAUGCGCAGAUAUCGGGAGGAACACCAAUGGCGAAGGCGGCUAUCUGGACGGUUUCUGACGCUAAGACGCGAAAGCGUGGGGAGCAAACAGG